GUGGUAUGUUAGAGUAGUUUGUACCUUGUAUUUUUGAUAAACUAGCUCUUUUGGUACAAGGGGAGCGUUAGAGCAACAGUAAAGUUGUAUCUUGUGUGACCUUUAGGCCACGGGUUCGGUUAGAUUGUCUACGUCACACUUCCUUGGAGUUUGGCCCUUUUUGGAUCUUGCUAAUGCGGGAUGCCCUUUGCUCUUUUGCUUGCUGCUUCAUUGUUAAACUCAAUCUUCUUUAUGCUGUGAUGUCAUUUUUGCCCUGCUUAUUUUUCCUAAAGUAUCAUUCUCUUGUUUGUUACCUUACUUUAAUUGGACUUGCCCUUAUUCACCCAAUAAAUGGAAACGAAAAGGGAAAAAAGGGAAAAAUGCAAUCUUCUUUUUUUUGGUUUCGAUGGAAGUCGCAAUCUUUCACUCACCUUUGUUCUAACCUGAGUUUCUUUAGUUAUUUAGGUCGUAGACGCUAUGCAUGUGCAAAAAUAAGUUUUCUUUUUCACAAACCAUGUUGGCGUAUUGAGUCUUGAUUAGAAAUGCUUUAGGAUUCUAUGAAGCGUCUUUUAUGAACUUUUCAAAACAAAACAAGAGAACAAUGGGAGGUAGUGGUAUGUGAGAUUAGUGUGUACUUUAUGUAAAGAGUAAUUAUGCUAUUUACAGAAGAUUUGGAGAGAUACUUGUCAAACUAUCUGGAGAAAUGCUUGAGCAUCUUAAAACAAAACUGCAAUCAAUAUGAAAUUGGCAGUCAGGAAGCAGCUUCUUUUGUGAAAUGGGAAUUUGACGUGUCUGAAUUCUGCCUGUCAUGGUGAUGUGUAUUAGUUCUCUGUAGACGCUGCUCAACAGUUAAAGAAUUGCACACUACGUUAACGUUGGCCUCAAACGCUGCAUUGCACAUGAGGUUAUUGUUUUGUAGUAUUUUGCCAAUUGGGGUUUUUAAGGGGUAAUAGUUCUCUUUAGCCAUCAUAUUACUAUGUUUUGCAAUAUGAAUGGCUUAAUCUGUAUUGACAUGUGUCUGCGGAAUUGAUAAUUUUCAGUUGAGUAUACCUAGGUAUUCCUCUAAGGGUAUUUGUUCAGGGUCCCUAGGAGAUUCUGUCGUUUUAUACUGAAUAGCAGAUAAGAUGGCCAAAUACAGCUUUCUCGUGCAGACCAUGAACCCGAGACUCCUGUACUCUUCUUGGAGUAGAUAAAUUCAGGGUUUCCCGAGUUAAAUUGAUGUCAAAGUAAGCACUUUGUUGUUUGAUUCACUAUCUGAGAUGGUUAAGACAUUAUAUAUUUGUACUGUUCUGUGAGGUUGUUCCUUGGAAUAAACAAGUAUUUUACCGUCUGAAGAAGUUUGUCUGUACAUGCUGGUUUCUUGUUAGUUUGAACCGAUAAUUGAACUUCAAGAAUGGAUGUUCCUGUGAAGAAACCUCAGGAUAAUGGGCCGAAAACCUUAGUCAGUGAUGACAUUUUGGCUAAGAGGCUAAAAAAUCGGGAGCGUCAACGCAGAUAUAGAGAAAGGAAACGUCUUAAAGCUGAUAGUAUGAAGGUGUUGGGAACAAACCAGCUAGUUUCAUUGCCAGUGGGGGUGCCCGUGAUUGUUUCUCCCCAGGAUAGUACACUGCCGGUGAAUGUCGCUUCGCUGGACUCUUCGGUUCCAGUAGAAGUUGCUCCGCUGGACUCUUCAAUGCCAGUGAAUGUUGCUCCUCUUGCCUCUUCAGUUCCAGUGAAUGUCGCUCCCCGGGCAUAUGUAAUGCCAGUGGAUGCUUCUCCCCGAGAGUCUGUCACCCGUGUUUACUCCGGACGAAAUUGGAAAAGGGAUGCCCGAAAGGCCCAUGUUGCCAGGCAGAAUGAAGUUAGUACUAAUAAUACGGUUUCUCCAGAUUUAGCUUCAAUUGGUGGAGGUCAAGCAACAUUACUUACCCACGUUGAACAGUCAGAUGUCGCGAUGAGUGAUGUAAUUUCUUCACCUGUGACUGCAUUGGAAAAUAUCGGAACACCCAAAUCUAUUGCCAGCAGGAGAAAUUGGAAAGCAGAAGCUAGAAAUAAGAAGAGCUGAAAUUGUUGACAAUAUGUUAAGGUCAAGUAUGUCACAGAACAUUAUCAAUUGUUAGCAGCCUUGUUGCAAUAUCAUUAUGUACAACAUUGGAAGGAUGGAUGAACUUUGAAUGAUAUUAUAUCAGAUGCCCGACUUACACGGCUCUUAAUUUUUUGCUUCUGUUCAAACAAGUGAGAAGAUCCUGACCAUUGCUAACGUCCAGGUUUGUCAGGUAUGAAGUUUAGGUUUUAGAGUAACUCUAGGAUACUCAUCUUCUGCUAGAACCUUAGUGGUUGGGACUUACUUUCUUCCAACGAAACGAAUCUUCAUAUAUUUCAUGGAGAUUCGGACCAUGUGUUUCUGUACAUAUAUGUUGUAUGUGGAUAACUCCACUUGUGGGAUUACACCGGAUAUGUUAUUUUUUUUAUCUGUUGUAUGUGGAUCGAUCGUCCCUUGUCCGGUUUAUCAUUCAAGAAACAUUUCAGAGUUUGAAUUUUGCAUAUGGUUCUGAGUUUGAUUAA